rfam:Schistosoma rodhaini strain Burundi genome assembly, scaffold: SROB_scaffold0002941
GUUGGUUAUGGUGACAUGCGACCGGUAACUGUAUGGGGUAAAUUAAUUGGUUCAUUAUGUGCUAUCGCUGGUGUACUAACUAUUGCACUUCCUGUUCCUGUGAUUGUAUCAAAC